rnacentral:rRNA from 2 species
UACGUAGGGUGCGAGCGUUAAUCGGAAUUACUGGGCGUAAAGCGUGCGCAGGCGGUUUGCUAAGACAGGCGUGAAAUCCCCGGGCUUAACCUGGGAACUGCGUUUGUGACUGGCAGGCUAGAGUAUGGCAGAGGGGGGUGGAAUUCCACGUGUAGCAGUGAAAUGCGUAGAGAUGUGGAGGAACACCGAUGGCGAAGGCAGCCCCCUGGGCCAAUACUGACGCUCAUGCACGAAAGCGUGGGGAGCAAACAGG